CACUCCCCCAGGCAGGAUAGCGACGGCCUGUUCUCCUCCCCGUGCUUGUGACUUGCCCACCACCGGUAACUGCUCGCCCUCGCCCUCCACCAGCCCAGGAGCUUACCGUCGCCCGCACGGCUUGCUCCGACAGCUCAAGCCCCCAUGCACGAAGCCUCCUCUACUCAUGAAAACGACACAACCUCCACGCUGCCUCAGGAGCUGAUGUAGAGCAACGCCACUGGCGGUGGGGAGCACGUCGGCCAUUUGCGCCUCGGACGAGAUGGCAGUCGACCAGCGCGAGCCUCAGAGGACCGAUGCGGACGAAGACAAGCAGCGGCCGAAGCCGAUCGUGGCGGCGGCCGACGACAACAACGACACGGGGCCGAAGCGGAUCGAAGAAGGAGAACAGCUCGCCACGGACCCACUCGUCGUGCUGGUGGACACGAACCCGCAAGCCUCAGGGGCAGCUUGCUACGGCUCGGCGGGCGCUCAUCUCACCAGAUGCAAUGAUGCUUAUCAGUUCUCAAGGGGCAGUAAGUUUCGUGCGAAGCUCAAUACUCAACAGUUAGCAAAAUUGGUUAUUAGCUGGCCUUGGAGAAACUACGAUGUCUCAAAGUGCAGAUAGCACAAACUGGAUAUUAUGUUCUACUUUUCAUGCGUGAAUGGGAUGGUGAAAGGCUACGAGUACUAACUCGCCUGGAUGCAUGUGAACUGAGGAAGCGCUUUUUAAUACACCUACUAACGUAAAGGGGAACCAAUAUGCCUGCAACAUACAUGAAGUUCUACGAGAUUAUCUUGGAUGCUACAUUAGCCUCACAAAUGGAAAAGCAUGAAUUGUUAUAGCAUUCUCUAUCUCGAUGAUUGUAAGAAAAAAAUUGUAUUGGCACGUUUUUCCAUCAUCUUUGAUAUGUAUUUUGCUACUAAAAUUUGUGGUUUAAACAAUGUAUCUAUAUUUCUUACAA